rnacentral:tRNA from 1 species
GGAUAUGAUUAUUGAAGCUUCUAACUUUAAAGAGUAAUUGAUUUUACCAUAUUUU